rnacentral:lncRNA from 1 species
GAUCUGGGAAGAUCUACCUGAGCAUUGGCACCGGAAGGUGAGCUUUCUCGCUGGCUCCCGAACACGCCCUGUGUGGAUCUGGUGACGGCGGCUCUGCACCCGGAGAGGGCGGCUUCAGAGCUGGCACCAACGGCAACGCGGCAGAGCCCCAGCAACAGAGUCGGGAUUGGCAGCACCGUCGAACGCCUGAGCGCAAGGUGCAACGAACGUUUGUUCCCCAUGGAGGUGACGUCAGAGAACUCGGUGGGGAAAGCUGGCUGUCCUUGGUCACAGAUUAUAUAACCAAAAAAGGCUCAAGUUUAUGCGCAGUCGAGCAGUUGGAUGUCGGGCACGCAGAGGGCCCCGGAUCCCACCUGCCAGCGGCUUGUCAGUCACUCGGAAGGCACAGGAGCACGCCCCGAGUGGCCACCGCGGCCGGCGCUGACGCGUGCACACUUCUGGAGGCCAGGAGCCCUGAGUCACGGUGCCGGCCAGGUUGGUUCCUCCUGGGGCCCCUCCCGGCAGCUCCCGGGGGAGGGCGGUGGCACUUGGUAGCCUGUGGCUUGGUCUCCUUCCUGCCCGUGGCCUUCCCCUCCCUCCCCUUCUCUCUCCGCAGUGCACACAUCACGGCGCCCCUGGUGAGAGCCCCCAGAUGCUGGCAUCGCACCGGCCUUCCUUCUGCGAAGACGUCCUGUGGCCCGGGCAGGCGCAGCGGUGAGGGCCUCUUUCCAGUCCACGCAGAACCAGCGCCUUGUCCUCGGUCUGCAACUUGACUCUAAAUCAGAAGGUGCUUAGUGCCAACCAUCGGAGAAGCCUGCAGCUGGGAGUUCUCAUCACCGCCGCCUGUCGGUCCUGCUGGGCCAGGCACACGAGGGGACGCCAGCAGGACACACGGGCAGCUCACGUUUCCUGUCCUGGAUCUGACGUUAAGAAAACGCAGCAAGACCCAUUUUCAUUCACCAAGCGGAAGAGAGAUCCUCAGUGAGAGCCAAGGAGCCACCGGGCUGCACCCCACGGAGCAUAGCGGUCUCUCCCCAAGUCCUCCGCGUUAGGGGGCAGACGGCUGUGUGAGCCGUGCAGCGCUGGGAGGGCUCAGUCCGCAUGGCCGUGUGCUGUCCCGUCUCCUCACCCCUGUGCCCCCCUCCCCACUUGGUCCAACAGAGGCACAGCUCUGCCUCCAGACGGUCCUCUCCACUCCUCGCCUUCCUCCUCCAGGCAAACUCUGCAUUUUAAAUUUUUUUCUUUUUCCCCAAAGCAAAUCUCUCUCUGUCUGUCUCUGUCUCUAGGAACCGAGGUGAGACUCACAUAACAUGACCGUCCCCAUUCUAACGUGGCGCUUGGCGCAUCCUGGCUCUGUCUAGUUCCCCAGAAGGGAACCCGCACCCACAUUCAGGCCUCCCCGUGUUCUCCCCCAGCCCCUUGCUACCUGUCCCCAAGAUUUGGGUCAUAAGAAAAAGGGGGGAACCCCAACAAAAUGCAUAAGCGUCACAGGCCAAGCACGAAGUUUGGUCUACUUAGAGUCUAGGAGCAAGCUUUCUCUGUGAAUUCUGGCGAGUCGACUUUGCUCCGCGGGCAGGGCCCUCCCCGUGACCGCGGCUGUGGGUACCUCCGGAUUUUGCCCAGCGACUGGCGGAAUCUAUUUCUACAGCACAGAGCCCGCUGCUGCCCGCGCUGGCCAGGUGGUGCCGGGCGCAGCCCACAGCCGCGGCCGGCGCGGGUGCUGGGGAGCGCAGGACGCGUGGACCCCUGCUCGCCGCGUGAAACGCCUUUUCA